rnacentral:rRNA from 1 species
UACGUAGGGGGCAAGCGUUGUCCGGAAUCAUUGGGCGUAAAGAGCGUGUAGGCGGCUCGGUAAGUCCGCUGUAAAAGCCCAGGGCUCAACCCUGGAAAGCCGGUGGAAACUGUCGAGCUAGAGUCCGGAAGAGGCGAGUGGAAUUCCUGGUGUAGCGGUGAAAUGCGCAGAUAUCAGGAGGAACACCAAUGGCGAAGGCAGCUCGCUGGGACGGUACUGACGCUGAGACGCGAAAGCGUGGGGAGCAAACAGG